AAAAGAUAUAUAUUGAGCCCUAAUUGUUAUUAGGAAAAAUGCGAAUUCGAAUUUUUCUGAAAAAAUGCAAAUGCACAUUCACUUUCCCCAUUUUCACAUACACGUCCCCCACUUCUCACUUUUGAGAAGUACAUUCUAAUUUUCUAAUCACAACUGCUCAUUGCACUUUCUCCUAUUAAAAAAAGAAAAAGAAUGAAGAUACUUGGCGAGUGCAUGCAGAGUCAGGACUGGGACUUCUCCUUUUUAAAAUUUAAUUUGUGAGUUUUGGUGGGUGUGGCUGGGAAGAUGUUCAUAGAUUCGUGUGAACCAAAAUCAUAUACUGAUUUUGAAACUAUUGCCGAUGGCAUUUUCGUGAGUUUUCUUUCUUCUACACCCUAAUUAUUGCCUCAUUUUCUAUUUGCUUCUUGUCUUUAUCUUGAUCUUGGAUGUUGGAUCAGAUUUAGAAGUCACACGUGUGGAAGGUUUAAAUUUGUGGCACAACAACGUAACUCUGCUGAGAUUAAUGAUGAGCUAUUCAAAGAAUUCAGAGAAGGAAAUAUAGAGGGGAAACUACAUGAAGUUUUGGCAGGUAUAUACUAGAUAUGGAGAUCCAGUUCCUUACUGGCAGGACUUGGCAACUUUUGUCCGUAAGGAAGGCUCCUAUGGUAUGUUUAAUGUUUCAUCUUUUUUCCAAGAAAGUUUGUUUUGUGUGUGUGUGUAUAUAUAUAUAAUUUUUUUAUUUUUUUUAUAGUAUCAUGAAGGAACAACUUUUGGCAGGUUUAAAGUUUUGAUUUAUUUACCGCUUGUCAUGGUUCCUCCCACUUUGAUUUCUAUCAACAAUCUCAUGUCAUAAUUAAAUAAGAUUAAGUGUGCACGUUUCUUAUAUUUUACUUUUUGAUGAAAUAAUUUUAGUUUGGUUU